GUGGCCCUAGGUAUCCCAAAUCCACAAGCCAACUAUGGUGAAGAAAAGCAUGGAAUUUUGGAACAUCUUGAUCUACUUGAAAAGGCUUACCCCCUUUUUUAUCUUCUACAUAUAGAACACAAUUGAAGUCACCAACAAUAAAAAGAGGUAACCCAAAGUAAGAAUCGAAAAAAUUUCAUCUUAGAUUUUUUGCCCUUUCACACUACAUGUACUAGCA
rnacentral:lncRNA from 1 species